GUCCACGCUGUAAACGGUGAGUGCUGGGUGUGGGAGGUGUAAUGCCUUCUGUGCCGAAGCUAACGCGUUAAGCACUCCGCCUGGGGAGUACGGCCGCAAGGUUGAAACUCAAAGGAAUUGACGGGGCCCGCACAAGCGGUGGAGCAUGUGGUUUAAUUCGACGCAACGCGAAAAACCUUACCUGGGCUUGACAUGGAGAGAACCCCGAUGAAAAUCGGGGGUGCCUCGUAAGGGGAGCUCUCACACAGGUGCUGCAUGGCUGUCGU
rnacentral:rRNA from 1 species